rnacentral:rRNA from 1 species
AUUGAACGCUGGCGGCAUGCCUUACACAUGCAAGUCGAACGGUAACGGGCCUUCGGGUGCCGACGAGUGGCGAACGGGUGAGUAAUGUAUCGGAGCGUACCUUUCAGUGGGGGAUAACGUAGCGAAAGUUACGCUAAUACCGCAUAUUCUGUGCGCAGGAAAGCAGGGGAUCGCAAGACCUUGCGCUGCUUGAGCGGCCGAUAUCAGAUUAGCUAGUUGGUGAGGUAAAGGCUCACCAAGGCGACGAUCUGUAGCGGGUCUGAGAGGAGGAUCCGCCACACUGGAACUGAGACACGGUCCAGACUCCUACGGGAGGCAGCAGUGGGGAAUUUUGGACAAUGGGGGAAACCCUGAUCCAGCCAUGCCGCGUGAGUGAAGAAGGCCUUCGGGUUGUAAAGCUCUUUCGGCCGGGAAGAAAUCGUAUCAGCUAAUACCUGGUGCGGAUGACGGUACCGGCAUAAGAAGCACCGGCUAACUACGUGCCAGCAGCCGCCGUAAGAC